GGAGUCAAAAGCUCUGGGAUGGCUGAGUACAGUGGCUCACACCUAUAAUCCCAACACUUUGGGAGGCCAAAGCAGGAGGAUGGCUUGAGCCCAGGAGCUCGAGACUCCCAGCACUUUGGGAGGCCAAGGUGAGCUGAUGGCUUGAGCCCAGGAGUUCCAGACCAGCCUCAGCAACAUAAUGAGACCCCAACUCUAUUUAUUUAUUUGUUUGU
rnacentral:lncRNA from 1 species